UAUGGACAGAGUGGACCUGAUCCUAGAUCAGCACUCCUAUUCUAAUGGCGAAUUCUGUCUCCUUCAUCCUUUCUGUAACUUCAGAUUGACCCCCCUGGUCUAUGAUUAGUAGAUGUGAGUGAGUGGACAUACAGAUCUGGGACUAGCCUAGCAACAGUAGCUCUUAACUAUUGGCAAGGAUUUAUUAGAUAUCCAAUCACUAUGAGAGAUGCUUUAUCCUUUUCAACACUUCUUUUGCAGGAGGCCAGAAAGAACUCCGAAGUAGGAGCCAUGUUCAUCUCCAUGCAACGCUCUACUGACCGAGGUGCCAAAGUGGUCUCCCAUCUACUUCAUAGUGGCCUCGGCUGGCUUUGGCUUCCAGGAGAUUAUGAGAAGGGAGUGGGACACCUGACCAAUGCCAUUGAUGUGUGUAGUUAACUUCAGCAGCUCCUCUAGGUGCUCCAGCAGACCACCUGUCUUUUAGAUCUGUCCACUAUCAGCCAGAAACCACAAACAUUCCUUCCUACCACAACCAUCCUACAGUACUCAACUACUGAGCCUCCACUCCAACCGACUGUGUUUCAUUGUCUGAACAUUUUGAAAUACCCUCCUGUUGUGAUUCGAGCAUACUACUCAACUCCUCUCCUUGCAUUUCAUGCCCUCUGCCUCUUUAUAACCUGUAGUCCACGAUGCACCUUUGUCGGGGCAUCGACUCCACAAGGUGUCGAAAGCAGUCCACAAGGAUGCUGGCCCAUGUUGACUCCUAUGCUUCCCACAGUUGUCAAUUUGGCUGGAUGUCCUUUGGAUGGUGGACCAUUCUUGAUACACACGUGAAACUUCUGAG
ensembl:lncRNA